AGCCAUCUCCGAAAACCUCACCUAUCACCACUCGUGGUUUUGGGAGCACAGCUAGACCCACUCCCUAGUGACACUCAUGGGGGUCCAAGUCCUUCUGAUUGAGGCCCAGUCUAUGGAUGGUGUGGGGCCAGUAGUGGCCCCCAGCAUACUGGGCUUGGGUCUUCCCAGAGUUGGGUUGCUUAGGAACACAGCCCAAAGCAGUUGAUAAACUACAUCUAAGGUU
rnacentral:ncRNA from 1 species